UACGUAGGGACCAAGCGUUGUUCGGAUUUACUGGGCGUAAAGGGCGCGUAGGCGGCGUGACAAGUCACUUGUGAAAUCUCCGGGCUUAACUCGGAACGGUCAAGUGAUACUGUUGUGCUAGAGUAUAGAAGGGGCAAUCGGAAUUCUUGGUGUAGCGGUGAAAUGCGUAGAUAUCAAGAGGAACACCAGAGGCGAAGGCGGAUUGCUGGGCUAAUACUGACGCUGAUGCGCGAAAGCUAGGGUAGCAAACGGG
rnacentral:rRNA from 1 species